GAAGAAUAAAGCACCUCUAGCCCCCGUGGAACUGGAUGACGACUGCUGUGGAGCUCCAUGAACUUCGCAGUGUCCUUGCCCUUUGCUGUGACCACACAACUUUCUGAGCAGAGCAGGAACGGGUAUGGAGAACCCCAGACACCAGACACAGCAGCCUCUGGCUAUGAAAAUUUCUUGUCCUCCUUCCAAGAUGUUGGACUUCGAGAACCCUGAAAUCUCCCCCUGAAGGGACAGAAGAAUAAAUUUAUGACACCCAAAGCGUUAUUCUAGUUGAUGUCCAGGGCACAGUUCCUCUUUCUGGCAACUGCCACGCAGCGCGAAGUGAAGGCCCUGCAGAGUUUCCGCUUGUAUCACCCACAGGGGCUGAGGAGCUGGAGGAAAUCUAUGCAAAAAGUUC
rnacentral:lncRNA from 1 species